UACGUAGGGCGCAAGCGUUGUCCGGAAUUAUUGGGCGUAAAGGGCUCGUAGGCGGUUUGUCGCGUCGGGAGUGAAAACACGGGGCUUAACCCCGUGCCUGCUUCCGAUACGGGCAGACUAGAGGUAUGCAGGGGAGAACGGAAUUCCUGGUGUAGCGGUGAAAUGCGCAGAUAUCAGGAGGAACACCGAUGGCGAAGGCAGGUCUCUGGGCCGAUACUGACGCUGAGGAGCGAAAGCGUGGGGAGCGAACAGG
rnacentral:rRNA from 1 species